UCCAGCCUGCCCAGUGACUCUGUUCAACGGCCGCGGUAUCCUAACCGUGCGAAGGUAGCGUAAUCACUUGCCCUUUAAAUGAGGGCUAGUAUGAAUGGCAUCACGAAAGUUGUACUGUCUCCUUCCCCUAAUCAGUGAAACUAAUCUCCCCGUGAAGAAGCGGGGAUACUCNUAUAAGACGAGAAGACCCUAUGGAGCUUUAAACCAAGCAUCAACUGCCGCUAUAAACCUACAAUUCCAGAAAUAUAAUCUGUACGCUAGCAUAGUGUAGUGCUGGUUUUAGGUUGGGGUGACCAUGGAGUAAAAACAAACCUCCAUGUUGAAUCAGGACCUCCUUAAGCAAUAAGCCACAACUUUAUGCAUCAAUAAAUUGACAUUAAUUGACCCAAUUCUUUGAUCAACGAACCAAGUUACCNNNGGGAUAACAGCGCAAUCCAUUUCAAGAGCCCCUAU
rnacentral:rRNA from 1 species